UUUACAGCAAUUCAUGAAUACAUUUCUAAUAAAUUUAAUAGCAUGCCAAGCAUUUUGUAUGUGUCCUUUCUUUCAUGUUCUCCUUGCAUAGUCUCCACCAUAGUUUACUGUGCUGCAUGGGGAUGCUCCACUCAGUCAGAGAAAGGUGUGCGAAUGUAAUUAUACUUAAAUUUAUUUGCACUGUUUUACAUUGAAAAUUAUUUACUAGAAAUAAGGAACAAGCAAAGCCUUGCAAAACCCAGGGAGCUGAGCUUCAUGGUGAGACAUUGCAGGGAGUCAUCAGUGUUACCUAUAACUGUGCAUUUAACCACCAUGUGAUAUGUACCGUAUGUGGGUAGACAAAAAAAAAGUUGUGUGUGGAAACUAAACUCAAGUCACUCUGCAG